rnacentral:lncRNA from 1 species
GAUAUGAAUAGCAAAUCUUGCAAAUUGCUAAAAGAUGUUGUGAGGCAAGCAAUUUCUGAAGCGCAUGAAGUACUGGAAAGAAUCUUCCUUGUUGGCUAGAAAGUAGAAACAAAUGAAGGUGGACUAAUGUGAGAGCAAUUGACAUUAACUACGUGAAUUGUGUUAUCUUAAAGCAUACUCCCCGGUAUAGAGCUGUCAAAAAUGGGCCCGGCUCAUGGGCCGGCCCAUUGGCUCAUAUUUUUGGGCCGGGUUGGGCCUAAAAAACUAACAAAAAAAUGUACUCGGGUUUUUUCCGGCCCAAGCCCAUUUGGGCCAUACAAAAGUUGGGCCGGGCUGGUCCACUGGACUUUGGGCCGGCCCAUUAGCCCAUAUUUCAUUUUUAUGUCCAUCCAAUCAUAUUUUAGCAAAAAAAUAAUGGUGAGUAACUAAUACAUAAGAAAUACAUAAAAAAAAGUGAAUA